GCACAUGGCGCGCAGCUUGCGCAGGGACGAGCCGGGCCCGCUGUAGGGGUCCUCGAAGUCGCGGUCCUUCUGGGCGCGGUAGGCGCGGAGCAGGUCGCUGGUGUCGUCGCGCAGACGGCGGCGCGAAAAGCCGGGCGAGGUGCCUCCGCCUGCCGUCUGGAGUGGCCGUGGGACCUGCAGCCACCACCUGCACAGUUUGAACUCUGAAUUCUCUACUACCGCUACCUGUGUGUCCCCCUUCCCAUCCGUGGUGGGGUAGGAGGGUUCCAGCUGGCGUCUGAAAAAGGAACCAAGCCCUGGUUUUGGCCAGGGCUGAGGCUAAACAAACAGGAUGUUGCAUAUUUUUUGGUAGGCGCUUUUCCCAUGUGUGUUCCUACAUAAGAGAUACAAUAAAUCAAAUGCAGAGAUGAUA